rnacentral:rRNA from 1 species
AUUGAACGCUGGCGGCAGGCCUAACACAUGCAAGUCGAACGAGUGGCGGACGGGUGAGUAAUGUCUGGGAAACUGCCUGAUGGAGGGGGAUAACUACUGGAAACGGUAGCUAAUACCGCAUACCAUCAGAUGUGCCCAGAUGGGAUUAGCUAGUUGGUGGGGUAACGGCUCACCAAGGCGACGAUCCCUAGCUGGUCUGCGAGGAUGAACAGCCACACUGGAACUGAGAAAGGGUCCAGACGCGUACGGGAGGCAGCAGUGGGGAAUAUUGAACAAUGGGAGCAAGCCUGAGGAAGCAAGGCCGAGUGGAUGAAGAAGGCCGUGGGGUUGUAAAGUACUUUGAGCGGGGAGGCGGGACCAGCAGAAGAAGCACCGGCUAACUCCGUGCCAGCCGCCGCGGUAAUUC